GAAAACCUUUAUCUCUUGGCUGCUGGACGCUCACCGUUAUCUCCCUCAAGGUAGGACUCGCGGUUUUAAGAGCCGAGUAUGACCGUUUCCCCUCCUGGAUUGAGCCAGGAGGAUCUAUUGCUCUGUAAAAGUUCCUCCUCUCCCUCUGUGGGGGAACCUUGUCUGCGUAGUGUCAGUGGAGGGACUGCACGGUGGGACACUUUAAAAGGUUUGCAGGCAUUGUGACCUAGUGGACCAGACCUGCCCAUAUGAGGAGGGUAAACCCACAAUGUAAUAGUGUAAAGUAUGUUCACCCUCUUACCCGUUGACAGCUGCUGAACAUUGACAUUUUAACAUGUAUAUUUGUGAAAUAAA